rnacentral:lncRNA from 1 species
CAAUGAAGAGAGCUUGGGACUUUUGAGUCUCCAACUCGAAGAAGAUCUAAAGUUGUAAGAAUCAACAAUUACUCUGUUCUUUUUCUUACUGAUGUCGAAUAGCUUCGAAAAUAUAUAGUCUAUAAAGAAGCAUCAAAAAUCCAAAUAUUCUUUCUAAAAAUGAUGUCCUUCCCAUUACCAAAGUAAAACCUUGACCUAUUCUAAACCACA